GGUGGCUUAGUGGUAGAGCUCUUGCCUUGCAUGCAUGAAGCCCUGGGUUCGAUUCCUCAGCACCA
rnacentral:tRNA from 1 species